GACGAACGCUGGCGGCGUGCCUAAUACAUGCAAGUAGAACGCUGAAGGAGGAGCUUGCUUCUCUGGAUGAGUUGCGAACGGGUGAGUAACGCGUAGGUAACCUGCCUGGUAGCGGGGGAUAACUAUUGGAAACGAUAGCUAAUACCGCAUAAGAGUAGAUGUUGCAUGACAUUUGCUUAAAAGGUGCAAUUGCAUCACUACCAGAUGGACCUGCGUUGUAUUAGCUAGUUGGUGGGGUAACGGCUCACCAAGGCGACGAUACAUAGCCGACCUGAGAGGGUGAUCGGCCACACUGGGACUGAGACACGGCCCAGACUCCUACGGGAGGCAGCAGUAGGGAAUCUUCGGCAAUGGACGGAAGUCUGACCGAGCAACGCCGCGUGAGUGAAGAAGGUUUUCGGAUCGUAAAGCUCUGUUGUAAGAGAAGAACGAGUGUGAGAGUGGAAAGUUCACACUGUGACGGUAUCUUACCAGAAAGGGACGGCUAACUACGUGCCAGCAGCCGCGGUAAUACGUAGGUCCCGAGCGUUGUCCGGAUUUAUUGGGCGUAAAGCGAGCGCAGGCGGUUAGAUAAGUCUGAAGUUAAAGGCUGUGGCUUAACCAUAGUACGCUUUGGAAACUGUUUAACUUGAGUGCAGAAGGGGAGAGUGGAAUUCCAUGUGUAGCGGUGAAAUGCGUAGAUAUAUGGAGGAACACCGGUGGCGAAAGCGGCUCUCUGGUCUGUAACUGACGCUGAGGCUCGAAAGCGUGGGGAGCAAACAGG
rnacentral:rRNA from 1 species